GGGCUACUGAUCAUCCUCUUCCUACAGACGAGAGACUGCAGGCCUGGAGAUGGCACAGCCUGCUCAGGCCACACGGCCUGCAGGUGGCACUGCACUGCAGCAGCCGGGGACGGGCCUCACGUCCUCAGUGCCCCGUGAUGUCAUUUCAGUGUCGGAGCAGGGAGGGACCUGCUUGUUUUAGAGAAGGGGGUUCACCUGGGACACCCCUGAGCUUUGUCCCAAGCCUCAACAAGCCACUCACUUCCCACUUGGGAGUAGUUUCUCUGCACGCACCAGGCAGUGGGACCAGGGAAGAAAUCGCGUCCGCUAAGUGGUGUCGUCUGCCUGCAAGACCUGCACAGCUCCCAGGCCUAUGGCUUUGGGCACCAGGACGGUGCCGGCUGAAAGGGAAGUGUCAGCUGUUCUUCUGUCUUUAAAAGGCAGCAAAGAAAAAAGCGCAGGGUUGGGUUUCGUAACGUCAGAGGAGGCCAAGGACACAGCAUGGAGUGAGUUACCCGGGCGGGGAGGGAAUCGGUGGGGCUGGUCCACGUCGCUGUCCCAGGGAACGGUAUUUCUCUCUUUCUUCAGCCCUCAUGCGUGUUGCUGGGCUGUGGACACUGGACGAGUUCGGAGAACUCUGGGCCACGUAGGCCCCAGAGGUGCAGGCUGAUGGAUGGGCUUGUCUUUCUCCCCUUGUCGCCUUUCAGAUCUGACGGGAAACGCAUGUGGGCGAGGAGGUGAUGGGCUUCAAGGCGCGGCUCUCUGGUCGCAAGCCGCCUGUUCUCAGAAUACAGCUGGCUGUGUUGUAAUCGCACGCUGAUCUCACAAUAAAUAACGUGUGCAUGGAACGUGCCUUCAGAUGAGCGUGAAUUUUUACAGUGUGCACAAACAAAAUCCCCCAGCCUGGAGAG
rnacentral:lncRNA from 10 species